UCUCCGUAGGUGAACCUGCGGAGGGAUCAUUACCAGAGGUGGCGGCCCCCGGGCCCCGUCCCCUACCCUUUGUUGACUGAACCACUUUUGCCUCGGGGGCAGAGCGGCCCUCGCCGCCCCCGGUGGACCAUUUCAACUCUGUCUCUAUACGUCGGAGUCUUUGAUAAAUAAAUGAAAACUUUUAACAACGGAUCUCUUGGUUCUG
rnacentral:misc_RNA from 1 species